UACGUAGGGUCCGAGCGUUGUCCGGAUUUAUUGGGCGUAAAGAGCUCGUAGGCGGUUUCGUAAGUCGGAUGUGAAAACUCAGGGCUCAACCCGGAGACGCCAUCCGAUACUGCGAUGACUGGAGUCUGGUAGGGGAUCACGGAAUACCUGGUGUAGCGGUGAAAUGCGCAGAUAUCGAGAGGAACACCUGCGGCGAAGGCGGGUUGCUGGGCUGACACUGACGCUGAACUGCGAAAGCUAGGGGAGCGAACGGG
rnacentral:rRNA from 1 species